AUCUAGCUGACAAGUCCCAUAUAGGACGAGACACACGUCCUGGAU
rfam:Schistosoma haematobium scaffold1281_9, whole genome shotgun sequence.